CCGCUCCUACGGGGGGCAGCAGUGAGGAAUAUUGGUCAAUGGUCGGGAGACUGAACCAGCCAAGCCGCGUGAGGGAUGAAGGUACAGAGUAUCGUAAACCUCUUUUGUCAGGGAACAAAGGCGGGGACGUGUCCCCGGAUGAGUGUACCUGAAGAAAAAGCAUCGGCUAACUCCGUGCCAGCAGCCGCGGUAAUACGGAGGAUGCGAGCGUUAUCCGGGUUUAUUGGGUUUAAAGGGUGCGUAGGCGGGCUGUUAAGUCAGCGGUCAAAUGUCGGGGCUCAACCCCGGCCUGCCGUUGAAACUGG
rnacentral:rRNA from 1 species